AUGAGGAGCAGCAGCAGCAGCGGCAGCGCCGGCUCGGCGCCCAGGAGGAGGCCGAUGAGCGACCUCAUCGGCGGCAGCGACGACCUCUCCCGCUACUCCGUCGCCACCACCACCGCCUCGUCCGAGCGCUCGUCCGGCAGCGUCCGCGGGGCAGCCGCCUUCCUCGACGCCUUCCGCUCCUGCUUCGCCCCCGGGGACGCGCGCUCGCCGGAGACCUCCCUCUCCGACGUCGACUUCGACGCCUCACACCAACACUCGCAGUCGCUGAGCUCUCAAGGUUCUACCAGCGGGAGCACUUUCGAGAGCAGGAGAUCAGCUAGGGGACUAUAUGGCUCCACCCUCAGGAACUCUUCAGAGAGGGAGGUACCCGGCGAUAGGAAGUUCACCUUGCCAGAGAUCCAGAAAGCAACGAAGAACUUCUCACCCAACCUCAAGAUUGGGCAGGGUGGUUCUGGGACAGUGUACAAGGGUCAGCUCAGCGAUGGCACCCUCGUCGCCGUCAAACGGGCCAAGAAGAAUAUGUAUGACAAGCAUAUGGGCCACGAGUUCCGGAACGAGAUAGAGACGCUGCGAUGCAUCGAGCACCUGAAUCUGGUCAGGUUCCAUGGGUUCCUUGAGUUUGGUGGUGAGCAGUUGAUCAUUGUGGAGUAUGUUCCCAAUGGCAAUCUUCGAGAGCACCUUGAAGGUCUGAAUGGAAAAGUUCUGGAGUUCUCCGUGAGGUUGGAAAUCGCGAUCGAUGUGGCCCACGCCAUUACCUAUCUUCACACCUACUCUGAUCAGCCGGUCAUCCACAGGGACAUCAAAUCCUCAAACAUUCUUCUCGCAAACAACUGCCGAGCUAAGGUUGCUGACUUUGGAUUUGCGAAACUGGCUCCGACUGACGCUACCCAUGUCUCUACUCAAGUCAAAGGAACAGCAGGGUACCUUGACCCAGAGUAUCUCAGAACAUACCAGCUCACUGAGAAGAGUGAUGUCUACUCCUUCGGAGUGUUGCUAGUGGAGUUGGUUACUGGGAGGCGCCCGAUCGAACCUAAAAGGGCUAUCGUCGAACGUGUCACAGCAAAAUGGGCAAUGGAAAAAUUCUCGAAGGGCGAUGCGAUAUUAACACUGGAUCCAAAUCUGGAAGUGAACGACGCGACGAACCUGGCGAUCGAGAAGAUGUACGAGCUGGCCCUGCAAUGCCUAGCUCCCAAGAAGAGGAACCGGCCGAGCAUGAGGCGGUGCGCAGAGAUCCUGUGGAGUAUACGUAAAGAUUACAGGGAGUUGGCUCAACCAACCUCCUCUUGA
rnacentral:rRNA from 1 species